GUAAGCCGCAAUGGUGAAAUUGGUAGACACACUACACUUAGGAAGCAAUGCUAGAGCAUCUCGGUUCAAGUCCGAGUAGUGACAU